rnacentral:lncRNA from 1 species
GACAGAUAUCAAAUGGCCCAUAAAGUCUUAUAUUAUCAAUUAUCAUAUUUAGACACACUAAAACAUAAAAUCUAACGACAUAAUCUAGACGACUUAAUUAAUGGAACCGCUACUUCAGUUAUUGAGUUUACAAUAUUUUUAAUUUUUUUGAAUUGAUUUACAUAAGACUUGAAUAAAGCCUCUAUUUUUGCAAAUUGAUCCAAACAGUUCUUGGCGCAAUAGAAUAAUUGGACAACAUAUAGUUCCUCAACGAAUCUUAACUUAAAUGAAUUCUCGAUGGUUUAUUAGACCAAUUGCAGAUUUUGGAAUGUGAAGACUUGCAACUUAAAAUUUUUAUAUAGUUUGAAUUAAAUACCGAAGAGAGGUGCAUUUUUAAAGACUUGAUUCUGCGUCCAAAUUUUGAUAUCUUUCUCCUUCAACUUCUUCUUUCAUGCCUUUAUUUCUGCUUCAUAGACACCAAGUUGGAUUUGUAUGCUGCAUCAGCAUUGUUCUUCCGAAUGAAAAUGGGGUUGUUGGAGUUUUUGGCGAGCCUUGGAAAUUGAGGUUUUAAAUAUUUAAACAAUGUUGGAAUGGCUUGAGAGUUGGAAUUCCUUAUUUCUUUAAAAUGUGUAGAGCACAAUCGAUAAUUAUAUAAUGAUUUGCCAAGAUUUCAUUUUAUUUUUAAGACCCAUUGCCUUCCAAGGAAUGCCCUUGGAAAUGAAACAAGUGUCAUCCCUUCAGCUCCGGAGCCAUUCCUGCAAUCCAUGGCACUACAAGAAGUCAUACUUGUGGUAUUUUAAUAAAAUAUAUCGCCUUUGUAGAGUUCUUCACCUAAAAUAUAGUAAGGCAUAUUGAAUGCUCGUUAGCUAUUAUAACAUACAUCAUUAUUUUUGAUUUGAAAUAUUUAUGUAUCAUAUUAAAAUGCUUUAAAGUUUAAAAGAAUACCUCCUCAAGGUAAGAUUUAUGAUCUUAAUAACGAAAGUUUGUAUUCACAAUGUAUAAGAACAUUUAAUUUUGCAAAUAAAAGUUUUAUAGAGCGUUUUUAUGUGACGUCAGCAUUCUUGAUGUCGGUCAUUUUUGGGGGCCUAAACAUUGAAGUUCUAUAACAAUAAUUACCUUAUAAUUUUCUUUCAUAUUAAAGAAAUUAAUGAACUAUUUGAGGUCAAAAUGAGACUUAAAUAAAUAAAAAAAACUAUAACCUAAGUUUCUAUGAAAUUU